rnacentral:lncRNA from 1 species
GAUGUAGGACCCAUGGAGUAGCUCAAAUGCUGAGGAGAUGAGCGGCAGAGGGUAUCGAUCCUUAAGAGUGAUGUUAUUUAGCCCCCGGUAGUUGAUACACAGAUGAAGGGAGCUUUCCUUCUUCUCAAAAAAAAAUAAAAAAAUCUAAAACAGCUCUUGGGUGAAGUAGGAUGAAUAACGUCCACAGCCAAAGACUCUUGAAUGCACUUCUCCAAGGCUAGCAUCUACGGCUGAGAAAGGGAGUAGAGCUGACCCCUAGGAGGCACUCUGCCCGGCAGGAGGUCAAUACCACAGUGGUACGGGCGAUGAGGUGGCAAGGCAAUGGCACGAGAUUUGCUAAACACAGGCAUUAGGUCCAAGUAUUUAGGUAGGAAGGCAAUAGCUCAGGAAAUCUUUCUGCAACUGGAACAUGGGGCUCCAGUUCCAGUUGGCUUCUUGAGCCAAGGAGUACAUAGUAUUCAUGAGGGGGAAUUAAUGAUAUGGGGCUGAAUACAUUCAUAAUGACUGCCAGAAGUAAGCAGGGAUACAGGGGCAUAUACAUGUGUGGCAGGGCGUGGCCUGCCCUCCGAACAGGUGCCAUAUGGAGGUGCUGCGGGCCACGGCGGGGACCCAACCCCUGGUGGAGGGCGUUUUCAUCACACCUCUCGUGUGUAGUUUUGUUUGUAGUAGCACGGGUGUUUUUAGUUUAUCUCCCCUAAUUGAGUUUUACCUGCCAGUGGGGCCCCAGCCCUGUCCACCCCCUUUUGUUUGACUUUUGUACAGCCGAGUUAUUUUGGUGUUGAGUUGGAUUUAAUAAAAUUGUACUGCCUAACCCUCAAUCCUGUCUCUGGAACCGAACCGUAUCUGCGCGUGCCUGUUUCCGGUUAAUUCCUGGGGUGAAAUUCCCCAGGUGGCGUUGUCAUUGACCGUUCCACCUCUUUCCACCCCGCCACACAUGGGUAAUAUCUGCCAGCUUCUACCAUUAAGGGAUCUGGCCACCAAGGUGGAGUGAAGGGGCUGAAGUGAGAGCUCCAAUUUAGC